UUUGUUUAUUUAUUUAUUUAUUUAUUUAAUUAAUUAAUUCCCGCAGCUCUCAGGUUUGUGCUCAGGCCUCGCGCGCCGCUCCUGUGGAGGCUGGGAAGGGGCUUCUGGUAAGGGACAAGUAAAGGCGGAGUGCUGAGACAAGCGGCUUGGAGAGAAGUGGGAGCUGCUCCUCCCGGCUGUGGUAACCAACUGCGUGAGAUGUGGGUGCUGGGAGCUGCAAGUUCGGCAAGAGUAAUCGGGGGGAAGUGUUGCGGUUUUAGACCUAAUUCUUAAAAAACGCCAAUACAGACUUUAUGGCUUGUUGUCCCUGCGCACUCAGAGCCUGGUGCAUGGAUGCAUAUUCUGCCCUUCAGAGACAAUGAAGAUAUGAAUUUGUAGCUCGCUCCUUGUUUCCCAGCUCCUGAGGCCAGUGACAGAGAAACAGCAGUCUGAGGUGAGACAGCAUUCAACAAAACCUCAUCAAAUGUUUUCAGAGUUCCUUGAGAAAAAAUACCGUUGUGCUUAAAAAGUGAAUAUUAUGUGCUCCACAGUACUUUCAUUUGAACCUGACCUUCCCAUUCUCCCUAUCUUCAUUUAAUAAUGAAAAUCAGUGGUUACAUUAGACACUGCUACUUUUUACUAUAAGUAGUUAUCCUAAAAAUGUAAGAGUUGUAUGGAUGUUUUUAUGAUUGUAGUACUUGGCCAGGGAUGAAAACAAUCAUCUGACUGUUUGCAUACUUACAGUGAUAUGCAGAAGUCUGAUGGAUGAAAGGAUUUUCUGAGGCCAAAACUAAUAUCUGUGUUCACUCAUUCUUGGUUUUUUAAUUAAGCUUUUUUCUUUUUCUUUUUUUUUUUUUUAAGCAUCUGAGCAGUAAAGAUCUCAAUUUCAGAAAGAUUUUUGUCUAAAGAUACUGGAAUGUAUAAUUUUCACUUGUCCACAAAUUACAACUAGAUUUUUGAUGCUGAAGAAUAUGUUAUUGUAACAGCACAUGCCCCUAAAGAUUUUACAGGAUUUAAAAGAUGGUUGGUUUAGGCAGAUUUUUGCUAUGAAACAUGAUGAGGAAAACAGUGAUUAUAUUUGGAUUUCCAAAACAGUCUUUGCUCUUAUUAUACUUGUUUUUAUACCAAUUCUGAUCUUAGUAUCUGAGUACAUUGUAUUAAUGUUAGGUAACACCAAAACAACUGAGAAUGUAAGUCUUUGCUAUCAGUUGACAGCAUUGCAUAUGAAAAUGAAAUAUUUCUCUUUGGUACAGAAUGUGGAAUUGGAGCAUUUGAAAAAUAAAAUUUUAAUUAAAAUUCAUGUAUAACUUCCUUUCUUCAGAGAGUUGUUGUAAUUGUAUGUCCUUAACAACCACCUACAAAAGAGCAAAUAUGCUGCUGAAAUAACUUUUUCUGACAAUGAAAUAUUUGAAAAUCAUAACCAAUCAAUGCACAGCAUUAACUUCACUGAUUUAGAAUGGUGCUUUUUCGUUUAGAUUCUACAAAGAAAUGUAUAUAACAACAAUUAUCUCCCUUUUAUAAGCAAAGAGAAAACAAAUAGUAAAGCAAAAAGAAGCACCUUGGAGUUGAAACAUUCCAGAUGGAUUUGGAACAGUUCUGUGUGGAUUUUCUGCUAGAAUUUCAGAUUUCACUCCAAAUUGAGAUCUUCAGCACAGGGAAGAUUAGAACCAGUAAAGGAGUAAUUAAGGCCCUUCAUACGUACACAAAGGUAGCAGCCACAAGAGAUUAAACGCUGUUAAGUGUAGUGAAGUGUGAAGAUGACAAGAUAAAUGAACCAGAGGCGCCUCAUCUUCCAACGCACAGUGGUACAGGUUUUGUAUUCCAGACACAAAUGUCACCUUCGGGUUGAAGCCACAGUAGAUGAAUCGCUCUCACAGAGGCCUGAAGAUGCAAUUCAAAAGGGAAGAAAUUAAUUUUCUCUUCUGCACAAGUAGUUUCUACUCUUGAACUGGUCACCGAAAUGCCAGUAAGCCUCGACGUCCUUCUAGUAAGCCAGUAACAUGAUCACAGCAUAACAGCCUGCCUCACAGCAAGUCAAGGAGAAGAGGGCAGAUGCUAGUAGGAAUUGAGGCUACUUGGAGAUUGAUGCCUGGCAAUAUUAACCAGAGGCCUGAGAAAGGUGAAGGCUUUCAGAGACCGGGGCUAAGCCCUGCACUGGGUUUACAUGGCAAGGUUUUGGUAGCAUGGGGGCUGCUGGGGUGGCCUCUGCAAGGAGUCCAGGAGCUACCCCAUGGUAAGAGUUCGGAAAGGACAGCAUCCCUUGGGAGGGACCCCACGUGGAGCAGGAGCAGAGAGUGACCGUGACGGAGUGGAGAAGACGAAGCAUCAGGGACUGACCGCGGCCCCCAUUCCUCGUUCCCCUGCAUUGCUUCGGGGGGAGGACAUAGAGUAGGGUGGAUGGGGGGGAGGAAGGUGGUUUUAGUUUGUUUUUAGUUCACACUGCUCUAGUCUGUUAUCAAUAGGAAAUAAAUUAUAUUAAUCACCCUUA